rnacentral:rRNA from 1 species
UACGGGGGGGGCAAGCGUUGUUCGGAAUUACUGGGCGUAAAGGGCUUGUAGGUGGCCAACUAAGUCAGACGUGAAAUCCCUCGGCUUAACCGAGGAACUGCGUCUGAUACUGGAUGGCUUGAGUUUGGGAGAGGAAUGCGGAAUUCCAGGUGUAGCGGUGAAAUGCGUAGAUAUCUGGAGGAACACCGGUGGCGAAGGCGGCAUUCUGGACCAAUACUGACGCUGAGACGCGAAAGCGUGGGGAGCAAACAGG